rnacentral:misc_RNA from 1 species
UUUUACGAAGGAACAAAAAUCCAACUCAGAUGCUCCUAAAAAUUGAUACAACAUCCAUAUCCAAGUUAAUUCUUUACAUCAUGAGCGUAUUCUACGGAUACAGCUUGAAUACCGACAAGCAUAAUCAGGUAUGUGAAAAAAGAAUACAUGAAAAGCAAUCUAACAAUAAUAGUCAAUAUUUUACAUCUCAAAAGUAUUUUGCCGCAUUCAAUCUAAUUCAAAAUAGUAACCGAAUAAUUGUUGGACGCAAAAAUUUCAUACGGAUUCAUAGAGCACUUCCAAUCUAAUCUGAGAAGAAAUGCAGGGUGGAACUUCGAGAAAAAGAAUUUGACCUAAAUCCCUACCACAGUUUUGCUAUGGUAGUACAAUCAUCAAGGUUGUCUCUUGGAACGAGCCGGGAGAGCCAGAAGAAUCUUUUUUCUUGGUCCCAUAGGUAUUCCCAGCUCUUUGAGGUCAUUUUCCCUCAUCUGCUUCAAUGCAGUCAUAUCCACUUCCUCAGCCUUAAAAAUAAUGGCAUAUUUUCCCAAUCCCAGUGAAUGUAACAAGCCUUCAACAGUCUGCUGUUCUUCACCCACAUAUGAGCUCUUCUGUAGGAUCCCACUUGCAGUUGGUGGAGGAAGUUGGCCCAGAAGAGGUGCUGCAGGCUUUGUAGAUACUGCAGGCAACACAGAUUUAGUCAUGAAAGGUGUGGAACUACUCACAGGCCUUGAAGCAUCAAGAACAUCCUUGUUCAUGUAUGAAACUGUUCUUCCAUCAUCAAAUGUCCUGCUUAAUGGUCUUCUUUGUAAUUCUUCCACAUUUCUGGGUGGGGAUAAACCCCUAGAACUACCUAUAAUUCUAUCUGGAGAUCUCCUUCUUAUAUGAUCCAAGGUCCAAGGAGAACAAGAAUUCCUUGAUGAAUCAAUCUGUGGCAAAUUAUCUGCACUUCUUGCAGGAGGAAUUCGACCUAAGAUACUAGUGUUCUUUGGAUCAGGCAUGCGCUGCAUUGCAUCAACAGUAUUAAGGGGGGGACCUGAAGGCUGCACUGUCCUAGACAGCUUUUCACGGAGGUCCAUGGUUUUUCCGUAAUAAUCACUCUGGGGUCUUCUAGAGACAUUUUUUUGCAUGAGUUUGAAUCGAAGGUCAUCCUUACCAAUGCGAACAUCUUAGAUUAUUCAGAAACACAGGUCAGUUCUCCAAAAAUGGGUUGAAAAUCUGAGAAAAUAAUUAACAUUUCAAUGCAGGACAGCAAGUGUAUUUACCUUCCACACCAUUAGCACUCAAACUUGUCAAAUAACUGUCUACUCUUUGCCUGCAAGAAGAUGAAGUAUAACAAUAACAUUAUCCAUAGCUAAUGUCAUUACAAAAGCAUGCUCCUGAAAAACAUACACUAAUGACACAAAAUCAUGCCAGGAAACAUAUCACAGAGUACAGCAGUUACAUUUUACACCCACGCACAAAUUGGCUAAUAUGACUUAAACACUCUAAUUCUCCAAAAAUUACUGCAAUCAACAAAAAAUUAGAAAAUGUAACGAAGUAAAAUGUCAUUUCAAAGUCAGCAAACCACCAAAGAUUGUGUAAUAUUUUAACAAUUUCUUUGAACCACCAAGAAAAUAAAAAAAAAAGGGCAAUAUUCAACUCAUAUCAAAUUCAAAGUUACGAAAUUGAAACAAAAAGAUGAAAGUAAAACGCACUUUUUGUUGUUAGCUAGGCUUACAUGCGACGAGAAACUAUCCAAACUACUUCCUAAUCUAUCUCUUACAGACCGCUUAUUGCCAGCACUUGGCAGAUGAUCAGCAUAGUCAACCUCUGAUACAGCUGCAGCUCUCUUUACCACCUGAGAAUGUCAGUCCAUCUGAUGGGGAGAUCCUCUAGGAAGCAUCAUCCAAGACAGCUAUCAUUAUAUCCUAUAAUAUCUUCAAUAACCUAUUCAAGCACUCCUCUAGAAGGUUGUGUUGGAUUUUCUGUUAUGUCAGUGUUCCUUAUUUGUUGUUACAGCUCCAUCAUAUUGAAAUCUUUGUGAAAACAUCUGCUUCUGGAUCAACUAUCUGCUAUAUACUUCUCUUUCUAAAUUAUACACAAUAUGAUAAAUAAGCUUGAAAAUAGCAACCUUGAAUGUGCAGAAGCUGCACUACUAAAAUCUGGCAAAAAUAGUAUCAGGAAUCAUCUGUUUGAUUUCAAGUCCAUGAGAGACAGGUGCAGAGAGAAUAAUAAAGGAUCAAAACAUCAACCUCCUACCAGUAGUCUCCACAGGAACAUUUUCCUUCUCUGAAAUGAUGGAAACAAUUUGAAUCCCUCAAAAUAAUAUGGCGAAGAUAUACCUUAGAUAUAUAUUUCAUAGCAGUAUGGCAAUCCCCACAAACCCGGAGAUUCUUGAAAAUACGUACUGGCGCUCUCUGUGGCAAAGUGAGAAGCCCAAAAGCAAUAGCCAACUUCUCACUGUGAUAAGCUAGACCAAUCUCCUUACCUUCUUUAUCCAUGUCCUGAAGUGCAAAAUUCAUGUCUGGCACAUAACCAGCUUCCUUGAUCAAUAUAAUUAUCUCAUCGAUCUUUGAAUAAAUUUCAUUCAUCAUUGGAUGGCUUCUGUCUUCGGACAUAAAUGUGUGCACUUUGCUGUUAGACUCGAUCCAACUGCAUCCUGGUUCCUUAUUAACCCCCCUGGAUUUCAUUAAUCUUCUGAUUCUUGCAGCAUCUUCCCAUCUGCCAGCAAGUGAAUACAUAUUAGAUAACAGUACAUAAGGCACAGAAUUCAUGGGUUCCAAUUUAAAGAGGUUCUUUGCUGCUGUCUCUCCCAAUUCCAGCUCCCCAUGUACUCUGCAAGCAGCAAGCAGUGCCUUCCAUACAGUUGCAUCUGGUUCUACAACCAUUUGAUUAAGUAAUUCCUUGGCCUCAGCAAGUUUUCCUGAGCGUCCCAAAAGAUCAAUCAUGCAAGCAUAGUGUUCAGGACCUGGCUUGAUCCCAUAUACAUUGUCCAUUGAUCCAAAGUACUGGCGACCUUCUUCCACAAGACCAGUAUGGCUACAGGCAAAUAGUAAACCAAUAAAUGUAAUGAAGUCCGGUUUUGUGCCAGUAGCAGUCAUUUGAUCAUAAAAUUGUAGAGAAUCUUUUCCUCUACCAUUCUUUGCAUAUCCAACUAUUAGAGCUGUCCAACUAAUGACAUUCCGAGUUUCCAUGGAGUCAAAGACAUGAUUGGCAUCUUCUAUGCCCCCACACUUUGCAUACAUUGUCAGAAGAGAGUUAUCUACUGAUAAGGAUGAUUCAAGACCAGAUCUGAUAAUCGUUGCAUGAACUUGCUGCCCAAAUUCCAUAACUGUCAGUUCUGCACAAGCACUCAGAACGCUGGCAAGGGCAAUUUGGUCAGGACAUACACCUGCAAUUCUCAUGUCACAAAACAACUUGAUAGCAUCUUCAUAAGAGCCAUUGUAUGAAUAUCCUGUAACCAGGGAAGUCCAUGAGAUAACAUCUUUGUCUGGCAUCUGGUCAAAUACCAUAAACGCAUAAUCUAACUUUCCCUGUUUAGCAUACAUGUCAACAAGAGCAUUGUUCACGAGCUUAUAUGCCCCAAAUCCAGUUUUGACAAUUAAACAAUGGACGGAUUUUGCUUUUUGUAUAUCCUUCACGGAUACAAAACAGUUUAACACAGAUGGGUAUGUAUAAUCAUUAAUUUUCAUAUUUCUUGCAUGCAUUUCAUGAAACAAAGACAAAGCUUCCUCUUCAAAGCCCUCCCUCACAAACCCCACUAUCAUGGCGUUCCAAGAAAUCACAUCAUUAAUCUCCAUAUUCUCCAAAACCCUCUUUGCACUAUUCAAGUCUCGACAUUUUGAAUACAUAUCCACCAAUGCACUUUGAACAAAUAUAUUGGCACCAAAACCACUCCUAACUAUACAACCGUGUACUUGAACCCCAAAGUCACGAGCUGAAAUUGCUCCACAGGCUGUCAAAAUGCUAGGAAAAGUAAAUUGAUUCGACUCAACCCCUUCAGUUCUCAUGUCCCUAAAACACUCGAUUGCUUUAAACCCAUCCCCAUUACGAGAAUACCCAGUAAGCAUAGCUGUCCAAGUAGCAUGAUUUUUGCUAUCAGCCACUAUUUCGAAAAGAUAUUCAGCUUCCAAAAUGCUCUCGCAUUUGGCAUACAUGUCAACUAGACCGGUAACAACAAAAACAUCACCAUCAAGUCGAGUUUUUAUCGCAUACCCGUGAAUCUGUUCCCCUCUUUGACGAAAGCCCAUUGUGGAGCACAGCCUAAUGACACUCCCUAAAGUGUAUGUGUUAGGCUUUUGUCCUUCGAACUGCAUUUGCCAAUACAACUCAAAAGCUUCAAUUUCACAGCCAUAUUUGCAGUAGCCAGAUAUAAGACUAGACCACGUGAUUGAACUCUUCAAUGGAGUCUCAUGAAAAAGUAGAUUAGCUUCAGUUAAUCUCCCUGAAUUGGCAUAAGCAGCAAUCAUAGUGUUCCACGCAAACUUGUCCCUGCAAGGCAUUUUGUCGAACAUGUGGCGUGCCUCGUCGAUCCGACCACGUUUUGACAAAUCAUCCAAAAGUCGGUUUGAUUCAAUUCUUGAAUAAGAAAACCCUAUUGGAUUUGCAAUGUUAUGAGAGAGAUGGGUCAGGUUUAUUUGUUCAAAUGGACCCCGAUACAAGUUUAAAGUUCGCACUCUAUACAUGCCCGGCUUACUUCGCUGCUCUGUAACUCAUCCACACAGAGAGAUGAGAGUUUUUUUGCUGCUGCCCAGCCUCCCGGCCGCUUUAUGUUCUCCAAUAAAUUAUGAUAAAACA